ACAAUAUUGCUGUGCCGUGAGUCUGGAUGUGGCUGACCCAGAGAGCCUCACAGGAUGCAAGAAUUCAACUGGGGGGACACACAGGGGAGAGCAGGAAUGAUUUUUUUAACUGGAACCUCAGCCAAAUGUCAACAGAAUUUUGGUCCCAGGCCUACUUGAUCUUGUCCAUUUGGCACUGCUGGAGGAAUAACAAGUUUCUUCCCAUCAUGCACCUUUCUGGGAUACAUCAUGACAGAGAAAUCUCAAAGCCCAGGUCAAUUAUAACGGAAGAUGUGUAGCACCUCUGCCCCCACAGCGUCUUCUGGGGAUCCACUCAGCAAAAUGAUAUAAAACUAUUUCUGAAGACUUCUCAUGGUCUGGCACUACUUAGAACUAAGUAACUGGCAAAAUAAAAUGGAGUGACUUUGGUGGAAAGAAUCAGAUGUGCCUUUAUGCAGCCCUGCUCUGGACAGGUCUACAGAAUGGUAGAUCUGCUUUCAAGGUACUGCAGGUAGAAGAGGGGACAGACUCACAAGUCCGGCGUUCAGCAAGAUGAUCUGGUAUAAAGCACCACCCAG